rnacentral:rRNA from 1 species
UAGGGAAUCUUCGGCAAUGGGGGCAACCCUGACCGAGCAACGCCGCGUGAGUGAAGAAGGUUUUCGGAUCGUAAAGCUCUGUUGUAAGAGAAGAACGUGUGUGAGAGUGGAAAGUUCACACAGUGACGGUAACUUACCAGAAAGGGACGGCUAACUACGUGCCAGCAGCCGCGGUAAUACGUAGGUCCCGAGCGUUGUCCGGAUUUAUUGGGCGUAAAGCGAGCGCAGGCGGUUUAAUAAGUCUGAAGUUAAAGGCAGUGGCUUAACCAUUGUUCGCUUUGGAAACUGUUCAACUUGAGUGCAGAAGGGGAGCGUGGAAUUCCAUGUGUAGCGGUGAAAUGCGUAGAUAUAUGGAGGAACACCGGUGGCGAAAGCGGCUCUCUGGUCUGUAACUAACGCUGAGGCUCGAAAGCGUGGGGAGCAAACAGG